rnacentral:rRNA from 1 species
AUGCGUGAUCAGGUCGGCCUGGACCUGGACGGCUUCCCUCACGACCAUGAGUUCCUGGAGGACUACGGGCUAGAGGAAGAGAACGAGUGCGACAUCGAACGGGAGCCUUUGUUUGAGGACGAGCUCGCCAACCAAGCCGUCGAGCCGAAGCCGAAGCGCAAGAGCAAGCGGACCAAGGCAUACACGGCGGCCGAGGACAAGUUUCUUUAUGAGUGUUGGAGAGACAUUGGACAAGACCACAAGACGGGCGCCGAACAAAAGCAUUCAACCUUUUGGAUUUGUGUCCACCGUGACUUCCAUGAGCGCAAGAAGUUUCCGCCGUACCAAAUCGUAAGCGCGGGGGGGGGUGUCCAUUUCGAAGCGUUGGAGGGUGAUCCAACAAGAGUGCGACAAGUUUUGUGCCACUCUUAA